rnacentral:rRNA from 1 species
AACGAACGCUGGCGGCAGGCUUAACACAUGCAAGUCGAACGCAUCCUUCGGGGUGAGUGGCAGACGGGUGAGUAACGCGUGGGAACGUGCCCUUCAGUUCGGGAUAACCCAGGGAAACUUGGGCUAAUACCGGAUACGUGCGAGAGCAGAAAGAUUUAUCGCUGAAGGAUCGGCCCGCGUCUGAUUAGCUAGUUGGUGGGGUAAUGGCCCACAAAGGCGACGAUCAGUAGCUGGUCUGAGAGGAUGAUCAGCCACAUUGGGACUGAGACACGGCCCAAACGCCUACGGGAGGCAGCAAUGGGGAAUAUUGGAGAAUGGGCGCAAGCCUGAUCCAGCCAUGCCGCGUGAGUGAUGAAGGCCUUAGGGUUGUAAAGCUCUUUCGUCCGGGACGAUAAUGACGGUACCGGAAGAAGAAGCCCCGGCUAACUUCGUGCCAGCAGCCGCCGUAA